rnacentral:rRNA from 1 species
CGGCGGACGGGUGAGUAAUGUCUGGGAAACUGCCCGAUGGAGGGGGAUAACUACUGGAAACGGUAGCUAAUACCGCAUAACGUCGCAAGACCAAAGAGGGGACCUUAGGGCCUCUUGCCAUCGGAUGUGCCCAGAUGGGAUUAGCUAGUAGGUGGGGUAACGGCUCACCUAGGCGACGAUCCCUAGCUGGUCUGAGAGGAUGACCAGCCACACUGGAACUGAGACACGGUCCAG